AGGGUUUGAUCAUGGCUCAGGACGAACGCUGGCGGCGUGCCUAACACAUGCAAGUCGAGCGAGAAUUUCAUAACGGAUUCCUUCGGGGAGAAGAUAUGGAAGGAAAGCGGCGGACGGGUGAGUAACGCGUGAGUAACCUGCCUAUCAGAGGGGGACAACAUUUCGAAAGGGAUGCUAAUACCGCAUGAUAUCUAAGUAUCGCAUGAUACUUAGAUCAAAGAUUUAUCGCUGAUAGAUGGACUCGCGUCUGAUUAGCUGGUUGGUGAGGUAACGGCUCACCAAGGCGACGAUCAGUAGCCGAACUGAGAGGUUGAUCGGCCACAUUGGGACUGAGACACGGCCCAG
rnacentral:rRNA from 1 species